UGAUGAACGCUGCCUCACAGGUGAGGAUGAGGAUGAUGAUGAUGUAGCAGUCACAGGAGCAGGUGAUGAACUUUUCCGCACAGGUGAGGAUGAGGAUGAUGUAGCAGUCACAGGGGCAGAUGAUGAAUGCUGCCUCACAGGUGAGGAUGAGGAUGAUGUAGCAGUCACAGGGGCAGGUGAUGAACGCUGCCUCACAGGUGAGGAUGAGGAUGAUGUAGCAGUCACAGGGGCAGGUGAUGAACGUUUCCUCACAGGUGAGGAUGAGGAUGAUGUAGCAGUCACAGGGGCAGGUGAUGAACGUUUCCUCACAGGUGAGGAUGAGGAUGAUGUAGCAGUCACAGGGGCAGGUGAUGAACGUUUCCUCACAGGUGAGGAUGAGGAUGAUGUAGCAGUAACAGGGGCAGGUGAUGAACUUUUCCUCACAGGUGAGGAUGAGAAUGAUGUAGCAGUAACAGGGGCAGGUGAUGAACUUUUCCUCACAGGUGAGGAUGAGGAUGAUGUAGCAGUAACAGGGGCAGGUGAUGAACGCUGCACAGAAGACCAAAGACACAAAAAAAAUACCACAGAUGUAAACAAAAAGUAAAUAUAAAUGCUUGCUUAAUUCAAAGUGCAUUGAUUUAGUUUAAGGGCAAGACAAAUGCAUUUGGAACAAAUAAUGUUUAAAACACAAAAGGGAGGAGAAAAUAAUGUAGAAUAAUCUUUUGAAACACUGAUAAUAAUUUUAAAUCUUUUAGUUACCAAACAACUAUACAAAGCUUUUGCAAAAAAAGCUUGAAAAGCUUGAAGAGUUCUAUGUACAGAACAUACAGAAAGACAGUCAGAUAUCAAUACGACAACAGAUUUGAGAAAUGAGAGUACCUUGGCUUGCCAAUCCCAGUCUCCAUAGCUGUAAGUAAUCUCUUCUCCUGGUUUAAUGUC
ensembl:lncRNA